UAGGGAAUAUUAGUAAUCUGGGAAACCGGGAACUAGCAACGCCGCGUGUGCGAUGAAGGCCUUCGGGUUGUAAAGCACUUUUUAAGGGAAUGAGAAAGGACAGUACCCUUAGAAUAAGUCUCGGCUAACUACGUGCCAGCAGCCGCGGUAAGACGUAGGAGACGAGCGUUAUUCGGAUUUACUGGGCGUAAGGCGCGUGCAGGCGGUUUGGUAAGUUGGAUGUGAAAGCUCUCGGCUCAACCGGGAGAGGUCGUUCAAAACUGCCAGACUAGAGAAUAGGAGAGGGAGGUGGAAUUCCGGGUGUAGUGGUGAAACGCGUAGAUAUCCGGAGGAACACCAAUGGCGAAGGCGACCUCCUGGCCUAUUUCUGACGCUCAGACGCGAAAGCUAGGGUAGCAAACGG
rnacentral:rRNA from 1 species